UCUGCUGGCAGAAAGCGGAAAGUACCAGCUGGCCGAGAUGGGUGUGUCUAUUACCACAUCCGUCCGUUUUCUCUCAGGCUUAUCCACAGGGGACAGGGGAAACAUGUGACUCCCUUCAUACGUGGAAGACUCUGGCUCCAACUAUGGCCAAAGCUGAUGUAGAGGAAUAUGCAAAUAGUCAAGAACAUAUGAACACAGUCAGGAAAUGGGAACACUUCUAAGGUCCUUUUAUUCAAUCAUUUCUUGAGCUGGCUAGAUGCAAAGCCCAGCGAUGAUGCCGGGGCUAUGAGACACAGGAAAAGAAGAGAUUUGCCUUAUAUCUGAGUCCUUACCCUGUCUCUCAUUAUAGGACAUGCCCUUCCUGGGGUAGGCAUGUCCUAAUUUGGAGAAUGAAUUAUUGAACCAAAACUGACUGCAACAAUGCUGAUUUGAAAUAAUUAUGAAGGUACACUUAAUUAUCACAUUUAAAAACACAGAAAAAAAUUUAAAAAGAACAAUUUUCAACAAACUCUAUGUAUUCUAGUGAUUGAACAAGAAAUUAUAGAGUUUUAAGGAGAGCAAUCAAAGAAAAAAGAAAUACUAAGCUUGGGGAGACAUUUUAGACAGAACAAAGUGAUAUGAUGCUUCUUGUUAAUUUGCUCAAAAAAUGACAGCCAGUAGCUUUCCUUCAUUAUAUCAAUAGUGAAGCAUACCAGGAAUGAUCUUAGACUUCCCCUGGACGCCAUGAGACUUAAGCCAAGAAGAUCUCAAAAGCCUUUACAAGACAAACUGGGAAGAGGAAAAGUAUUAGAUAUUGCGGGCUAUUGGACAUCCUAAUUCCUGGAUAACUUCAGACUCGGAUUCUCUGCGAAACGCCUCUCAUUUGUGCCCUGUACACAGCAGAUGCUCCAUCCGUGGGCAUUUUGGUAGUAGGUGGAUAAUUUCCUGGAAACAAAGCAAGUUCUUCAUGUUCUUGAGAGGCUUUUGCAUGUGCCAUUUCAUCCACCUGACAUAUCCCUCCUUCCCAAUGGAACGAUCACCCUCCUUCAAGGCCCAGUUCAAAUACUAUAUUCCUCCAUGAAGUCUUGUAGUGUCUA